GGGGGGGGCAGCCUACACAUGCAAGUCGGACGGUAGCACAGAGGAGCUUGCUCCUCGGGUGACGAGUGGCGGACGGGUGAGUAGUGUCUGGAGAUCUGCCCGAUAGAGGGAGAUAACCACUGGAAACGGUGUCUAAUACCGCAUAACGUCGCAAGACCAAAGAGGGAGACCUUCGGGUCUCUCUCUAUCGGAUGAACCCAUAUGGGAUUAUCUAGUACGCGGGGUAACGGCCCACCUAGGCGACGAUCCCUAUCUGGUCUGAGAGGAUGACCAGCCACACUGGAUCUGACACACGGUCCACACUCCUACGAGAGGCAGCAGUGGAGAAUAUUGCACAGUGGGCGCAAGUCUGAUGCAGCCAUGCCGCGUGUAUGAAGAAGGUCUUCGGGGUGUAGAGUACUUUCAGCGGAGAAGAAGGCGAUGUGGAUAAUAACCGCAUAGAUUGACGUUACCCGCAGAAGAAGCACCGGCUAUCUCCGUGCCAGCAGCCGCGGUAAUACAGAGGGUGCAAGCGUUAAUCGGAAUUACUGGGCGUAAAGCGCACGCAGGCGGUCUGUUAACUCAUAUGUGAAAUCCCCGGGCUUAACCUGAGAACUGCAUUUGAAACUGGCAGGCUUGACUCUCGUAGAGGGGGGUAAAAUUCCAGGUGUAGCGGAGAAAUGCGUAGAGAUCUGGAAGAAUACCGGUGGCAAACGCGCCCCCCUGGACGAACACUGACGCUCAGGUGCGAAAGCGUGGAGAGCAAACAAGAUUAUAUACCCUGGUACUCCACGCCGUACACGAUGUCGACUUGGAGGUUGUUCCCUUGAAGAGUGUCUUCCAGAGCUAACGCGUUAACUCGACCGUCUGGAGAGUACGGCCGCAAGGUUAAAACUCAAAUGAAUUGACGGGGCCCCGCACAAGCGGUGGAGCAUGUGUUUUAUUUCGAUGCAACGCAAAAAACCUUACCUACUCUUGACCUCCAGAAUUUUAACAGAGAUGCUUUGGUGCCUUCGGAAACUCUGAAAAAGGUGCUGCAUGGUUGCCCUCACCUCGGGUUGGGAAAUGGUGGGUUAAGUCCGAAAGAGCCAACCCUUAUCUUUUUUCCCAGGAUUCGGGCGGAACUCAAAGGAAUGCCGGGAAAACC
rnacentral:rRNA from 1 species